AGAAAAAUGGAAGCACAGGUGGUUCCAGUGGAAUAUUUGUACCUCAGGACUUACAGCUUUUGCCAAGAGCCUGGCACCGUGCUGAGUGCAUCGCAGACUCAACUGUGAAAUGCAUGAAGAAGUAAAGGAAUGAAUAAUUUGGAAAUAGCUUCACAUUUCAGUGUUCUGUGGAAUAAGGCAAACUCUGGGAAAACACAGUGCAUCUUGUCAAGACAGUGGUUAAACUGAGACAGUAAAGAUCGUUAAUUGUCCAAUUCACCAGUUUUCAUUGAACUACCUGACAGUGGCCCUUUGAUAGAAGAGGGAGUUAAGAAGAAACCAGCCUUCCAGCAGCUGCCAGAACCAGGGAUCUGCAAGGGCUUGAAAUCUGAGCAGCUUUCUCAGUAGCUCGGUCAGGCAUACUAGAAGGUUUUAGGGCAGUGAGCUGCUCAGCUAUUGAUAUAUUACAUUUGGCACCUAUGGAGAGA